CCUGUAAACCAAGCACACAGCAGGAUGAGACAGACCUCAUUCAGAAUCCGAAUCCCCCCACAGCCUGCCUUCUUCCGCUGACCAACCAGUGACAGCCACCAGAGGGCACUGCGAAGAAUCUGAAGCACCAACUACCCUAAGCUCCCUGUUUGUGGCCUGGCAAAGCAGUGGAGGGCAGACCAAGUCCUUGGGACCCUGCACAUACAGGGGAGAUCUGGAAGCAGCUCCUAACUUCAGAUCUGCUCAGCUCCGGUUGUUGCAGCCACUUGGGCAAUGAACCAACGGAUGAAAUACCUUUCUCUGUCUUUCCUGCUCUCUUACAUACAGUUCCUGGCCUGGAAGGAACUGACACACAAGAACAGCUGCUGACCUGUCUGAAAUUAAAGCCAGCCCUUCUACAGCCUUAAUCCUUUACGACUGAGGAAUAAACAGCAGCAAGAAUGUAGGACGAGACUAGUAUGGUCAACUUUGCCAGCAU